rnacentral:rRNA from 1 species
GACGAACGCUGGCGGCAUGCCUAACACAUGCAAGUCGAACGGAGCCAACCGACGGAAGCUUUCGGGCAGAAGACGGGGAAGCUUAGUGGCGGACGGGUGAGUAACGCGUGAGUAACCUGCCUUUCAGUGGGGGACAACAGUUGGAAACGACUGCUAAUACCGCAUAAUGUUAUCGAGCGGCAUCGCUUGAUAACCAAAGCUUUAUGUGCUGAAAGAUGGUCUCGCGUCUGAUUAGCUAGUUGGUGAGGUAACGGCUCACCGAGGCGACGAUCAGUAGCCGGCCUGAGAGGGUGAACGGCCACAUUGGGACUGAGACACGGCCCAAACUCCUACGGGAGGCAGCAGUGGGGAAUAUUGCACAAUGGGGGGAAACCCUGAUGCAGCAACGCCGCGUGAGUGAAGAAGUAUUCGGUAUGUAAAGCUCUAUCAGCAGGGAAGAAAAUGACGGUACCUGACUAAGAAGCCCCGGCUAACUACGUG